rnacentral:rRNA from 1 species
CCUACGGGAGGCUGCAGUAGGGAAUCUUCCACAAUGGGCGAAAGCCUGAUGGAGCAACGCCGCGUGGGUGAAGAAGGUCUUCGGAUCGUAAAACCCUGUUGUUAGAGAAGAAAGUGCGUGAGAGUAACUGUUCACGUUUCGACGGUAUCUAACCAGAAAGCCACGGCUAACUACGUGCCAGCAGCCGCGGGAAUACGUAGGUGGCAAGCGUUAUCCGGAUUUAUUGGGCGUAAAGGGAACGCAGGCGGUCUUUUCAGUCUGAUGUGAAAGCCUUCGGCUUCACCGGAGGAGUGCAUUGGAGACUGGGAGACGUGAGUGCAGAAGAGGAGAGUGGAACGCUAGGUGUAGCGGUGAAAUGCGUAGAUAUCUGGAAGAACACCAGUGGCGAAAGCGGCUCUCUGGUCUGUAACUGACGCUGAGGUUCGAAAGCGUGGGUAGCAAACAGGAUUAGAUACCCCAGUAGUC